AGUUAAUUAAAAAAUGUAGGUUUAAUGAUGCAUACAUAAUUAUCUCUCUUAGGCAGAUGUCACAGAGAACUUAAAAUGAGAUUAUUUAAGUUAGCUUUAAACCUUCAGUAGAAAUGUGAGAUUUGUUCAAACUACAGUGCCAGGCAGUUUUGUCUUCCUUUUUUUUUUUUUUUUUUUUCCAGGCAACAACAGCCUCUCUUUGACAGACGGACAGAGUUCACGGACCUCUCCUUUAACAUUAUACUUAACCUCACGCCUCCUAAGUUUAGCCUAAGCCCAUUUAUUUACCUGGGGGUAUCUGAGGGACUUCCCACCUCACUUGUUCCCUGCCCUCUGACCUAGUCUUGCCCUAGGAGUAGAGACAAACCCUUCCUAAAUGUCCCUUACCCCGGCCUUCUGUCCCGGUAGCAUGUCUGUGCUUGAGGAUUCCGUGUAGAUGAGCACAUUCGAGGAUCCCCAGUCCGCACUUGGGGUGAUCCUGGUUAAUUUUAACCUCUCAAUCGGACACAUUUCCCAAAACUUUCCAAGCCAAAUUGACAUUUCCUCCUCUUCCUGUUUUCUUUGUUGGCUCCUGUGUGGGGAAUGAGUAUUCUCACGUGUGUUAUUUUUGACGCAGCAAAAGAAGAAGAAUGAUAAGUCGCCAGCAAACAGGUUUGUGAGUGUUCCCAAUCUAAGUGCUCUGGAAUCCGGUGGAAUGGGCAAUGGACAUCCUACCCGCCUGGAACCCAUUCCCAAUUCUCCAGCCCAUGAUGUUGAGUUCAACAGCAACAAGCCUCUUCCACAGCCAUUGCCACCCAAAGAGCCCAAGACGUUUUUGAGGUAUCAGUAGGAUGCAUGUACAUGAGCUCAAGGACCUUGACUGCUGGACUUUCCAUAACACAUUGUUGCGUGCCUUGUUAUUCCCCCAAAGACGCCCUCCUCAGAGUGAAGCCUCCCCGGUGGCUUCUCCGGAUCCCCAGCGCCAGGAGUGGUUUGCCCGGUACUUCACGUUCUGAAUGACGGUGCUGGCACGGCUCUGUGUGGACUGUCCAUGGCAUGGCUGCAUAGGAACCGUUAUGUGGACUGGCCUGUCUAUGGAAAGCACUGUGAAUGAGGAAGUAUUUGUCUCUCCAAUCUGAAAUGCACUGUAUUUCCUGCGAUACUUACUGGAGUCACUCUCUGAGGUACUAUAUUAUGUGUGUAAUUAUAACAAUUAUUUUUAUCCGAGACGGAAGUCUUAAUCUUUGUAAUUACUGCAUAAUAAAUUUUGUUAGAACAA
rnacentral:lncRNA from 1 species